UUAUCGACUGAGAUGGGGGAAAAGCCCUGGUAUCCCGCCUUCAGAGAGCCGGCGUUUGCUGCAAGCCGGUGGGGGAGCCUGGGAGGACUGGCCCCGGAGUCUUUCGCCUGAACAGCAGUAGGGCGGAACGGCUGGCAUCGUUAUCUGCCGCACCGAGCGCCGGGAAACCGGCGGAAACAGGGUGGUACCGCGUUUUCAACGCCCCUGAG
rnacentral:ncRNA from 1 species